rnacentral:misc_RNA from 1 species
GAAAUGCGAUAAGUAAUGUGAAUUGCAGAAUUCAGUGAAUCAUCGAAUCUUUGAACGCACAUUGCGCCCGCCAGUACUCUGGCGGGCAUGCCUGUUCGAGCGUCAUUUCAACCAUCAAGCCCCGGCUUGUGUUGGGGACCUGCGGCUGCCCGCAGGCCCUGAAAAACAGUGGCGGGCUCGCUGUCACACCGAGCGUAGUAGCAUACAUUCUCGCUCAGGGCGUGCUGCGGGUUCCGGCCGUUAAACGACCUUCAUAACCCAAGGUUGACCUCGGAUCAGGUAGGAAGACCCGCUGAACUUAAGC